ensembl:snRNA U6 U6 spliceosomal RNA
GUGCUCGCUUCGGCAGCACAUACACAAAAACUAGAACGAUACAGAGAAGAUUAGCACGGCCCCUGCGCAAGCAUGACACACAAAUGCGUGAAGCUUCCAUAUUUUUU